GAAUGGGGGAUAUUGCAAAGCUACCGAACAAGGAAGAGAGAUAUGUUGAAAGGAUAGGCACGACGCCAAAGAGAUUUGACCAUGAGAUAGACAUGAGUGGCUACGAUGUGAUGUUGAUGGAGCCCCCUCGUCCACCUCCUCCUCCGCCUCCGCCUCCCCCACCUCCGCCCCCUCCACCUCCUCCGGCACUUGCUGAGAAGGUCAUUGUGAAACCCAUUGUGCCUAAUGAAGUAACUGCAGGGCCUUCUGCCAAAACACCAAAGCCAUCUACAUUUGCGAGGUCGUUCACCAUUGCAGCCCUUCAACAAUAUACAAAUAGCUUUUC
rnacentral:lncRNA from 1 species